rnacentral:rRNA from 1 species
UACGAAGGGGGCUAGCGUUGCUCGGAAUCACUGGGCGUAAAGCGCACGUAGGCGGAUCUUUAAGUCAGGGGUGAAAUCCCAGAGCUCAACUCUGGAACUGCCUUUGAUACUGGGGAUCUCGAGUUCGGGAGAGGUGAGUGGAACUGCGAGUGUAGAGGUGAAAUUCGUAGAUAUUCGGAAGAACACCAGUGGCGAAAGGCGACUUACUGGACACAUAUUGACGCUGGAGGUGACGAAAGCGUGGGGAGCAAACAGG